ACAAUAUCAUGUUUAUUGUUACAGGCACAUUCCUCACUGAUGUAUCUUUUGAUGGCCGACUUUGCUGAGCUUUCAGCUACAAGUUUAAACAUUGUCAACAUUUUCAUCACAAGACUCACAACCACAAAAAUAGGGUAUACAGUAUACAACCUCUUCACAAUUGACUGUUCGACAAUCCUAAUGCUUACUGGAACUAUGCUGACGUACGUUGUGGUGAUUCUACAGUUCAAGCCUGACUAACGUCUUUGUUGUGAAGCCAUGAUGGAUGAUGGGAACUUGGGGACUAUCCCGAAGAUUCGAA